GGGGCUGACUGGCUUUGACAGCGAGAUGAAGUGGUUUGUAAGCAUGCAGUGCGUAGUCGGCUGGCACUAUAAUCUCAGACGUCAAAAAUUUAACUGGCAAUAACAAUUACGCUCUUGCUGCUUAAUCGAAGUAUAGUAGAUUCUAGCUUAAUCCCUGCACAGGUGUAGGGACAAGACAUUACCCGGAAGCUGUGGCUUCGAAGCGUUCCGAUACGGUGGUGCAGAUAAAUCGGAGAUAGGAUAGGGGAGGCUUCGGCUCUUAUCUGAAACUAAAGAAGCUAAGGUUUGGGUUGGUGGCUUCGGUCUUGCCCAUUCACGAAAACCAAAGCGGAGAUAAGCAUGUAGAAAGCAAAUUAGUUCCUUGUUUGGACCGGGGUUCAAGUCCCCGCAGCUCCACAA
rnacentral:tmRNA from 1 species